rnacentral:rRNA from 1 species
ACGUAGGGGGCGAGCGUUAUCCGGAAUUAUUGGGCGUAAAGAGUGCGUAGGUGGUUCUUUAAGCGUGAGGUGAAAGGCAAUGGCUUAACUAUUGUAAGCCUUAGGAACUGGAGAGCUUGAGUGUAGGAGAGGUAAGUGGAAUUCCUAGUGUAGCGGUGAAAUGCGUAGAUAUUAGGAGGAACACCAAUGGCGAAGGCAGUUUCCUGGACUGUAACUGACGCUGAGACGCGAAAGCGAGGGGAGCAAACAG